AUUUACUUCGAUUUUAAGAAGGCCUUAAGAAGUCCCGGGCACAGCUAGUACCUGGAUGGGAGACCGCCUGGGAAUCCUGGGUGCUGUAGGCC
rnacentral:rRNA from 1 species